rnacentral:rRNA from 2 species
AUUGAUUGAUGGUGCUUGCACCUGAUUGAUUUUGGUCGCCAACGAGUGGCGGACGGGUGAGUAACACGUAGGUAACCUGCCCAGAAGCGGGGGACAACAUUUGGAAACAGAUGCUAAUACCGCAUAACAACGUUGUUCGCAUGAACAACGCUUAAAAGAUGGCUUCUCGCUAUCACUUCUGGAUGGACCUGCGGUGCAUUAGCUUGUUGGUGGGGUAAUGGCCUACCAAGGCGAUGAUGCAUAGCCGAGUUGAGAGACUGAUCGGCCACAAUGGGACUGAGACACGGCCCAUACUCCUACGGGAGGCAGCAGUAGGGAAUCUUCCACAAUGGGCGCAAGCCUGAUGGAGCAACACCGCGUGAGUGAAGAAGGGUUUCGGCUCGUAAAGCUCUGUUGUUAAAGAAGAACACGUAUGAGAGUAACUGUUCAUACGUUGACGGUAUUUAACCAGAAAGUCACGGCUAACUACGUGCCAGCAGCCGCGGUAAUACGUAGGUGGCAAGCGUUAUCCGGAUUUAUUGGGCGUAAAGAGAGUGCAGGCGGUUUUCUAAGUCUGAUGUGAAAGCCUUCGGCUUAACCGGAGAAGUGCAUCGGAAACUGGAUAACUUGAGUGCAGAAGAGGGUAGUGGAACUCCAUGUGUAGCGGUGGAAUGCGUAGAUAUAUGGAAGAACACCAGUGGCGAAGGCGGCUACCUGGUCUGCAACUGACGCUGAGACUCGAAAGCAUGGGUAGCGAACAGGAUUAGAUACCCUGGUAGUCCAUGCCGUAAACGAUGAGUGCUAGGUGUUGGAGGGUUUCCGCCCUUCAGUGCCGGAGCUAACGCAUUAAGCACUCCGCCUGGGGAGUACGACCGCAAGGUUGAAACUCAAAGGAAUUGACGGGGGCCCGCACAAGCGGUGGAGCAUGUGGUUUAAUUCGAAGCUACGCGAAGAACCUUACCAGGUCUUGACAUCUUGCGC